CCUACGGGUGGCAGCAGUCGAGAAUCUUUCACAAUGGGCGAAACCCUGAUGGUGCGACGCCGCGUGGGGGAAUGAAGGUCUUCGGAUUGUAAACCCUUGUCUUGUGGGAGCAAAUUAAAAAGAUAGUACCAUAAGAGGAAGAGACCGAUAACUCUGUGCCAGCAGCCGCGGUAAUACAGCGGUCGCAAGCGUUGUUCGGAAUCACUGGGCGUAAGGCGUGCGUAGGCGGUAUCGUAAGUCGGGUGUGAAAGGCGCGGGCUCAACCCGCGGACUGCACCUGAUACUGUGAGACUCGAGUGAUGGAGGGGGAACCGGAAUUCUCGGUGUAGCAGUGAAAUGCGUAGAUAUCGGGAGGAACACUAGUGGCGAAGGCGGGUUCCUGGACAGUAACUGACGCUGAGGCACGAAGGCGUGGGGAGCGAAAGGGAUUAGAUACCCUUGUAGUC
rnacentral:rRNA from 1 species